rnacentral:rRNA from 1 species
UACGUAGGUGGCGAGCGUUGUCCGGAAUUACUGGGUGUAAAGGGCGUGUAGGCGGGUUAUCAAGUCAGAUGUGAAAUUCCAGGGCUCAACCCUGGCGCUGCAUCUGAAACUGAUGAUCUUGAGUGCUGGAGAGGAAAGCGGAAUUCCUAGUGUAGCGGUGAAAUGCGUAGAUAUUAGGAGGAACACCAGUGGCGAAGGCGGCUUUCUGGACAGUAACUGACGCUGAGGCGCGAAAGCGUGGGGAGCAAACAGG